GCAUGACCACAGAAAGCAAAUGUUGCAUCAUCACAUGGGAGUCAUGACUUUUCAUACCAGAAAUAUUAUCAUUGUUGUUUCCAACAUACCGCGAUACGUUUGAAGCAUAUGCAUCAUAAAACUUUAUGAUUUUGAAUCAUCCACAAAAUUUUUUUUUCUCACCAAAUAGCGAAUAAUAUACAGGUGGCAUAAAAAAUCUAUCAUCUCGACGAACUAAAUACAACUCCUACUAGAUUUUCAUUUUCUAUAAAUCAAGAUGAGCUUUUGUACCAUCUUUUAUUUUUUCUAAAAUGUUCAGUACAGUACCGAUGAUAUUAUCAUAAAUAUUCUUCUCAAUGUGCAUUACAUCCAGAUUAUGAUGAAGUAGUAGCUGCUUUCAAUAUGGUAGUUCGAAAAAGAUGCUUCGCUUCGUCCAAUUCAACUCAGCUUCAGUGCGCUUCCGCUUGCGAGUAUCCGAUAUUUUUUCAAAUUGAACAUUUUCAAUGACUUCAAGUUGUUCUAAAAUUUUUGCUCCACUUAACUCCUUAGGUGGCAGACACCAGUCGGACUUACCAUCAAAAUAUUGGUUAUAACGGAUCCUCCAAGAAUGAUUACCAGGGAGAAACCGUCGAUGACCCAUGAAGCAUAUUUUUCAUCCAUACUUUAAAUGUAAGGAGAAUGCAUUCUUAUUGUAUAUUGGACAUGCC
rnacentral:lncRNA from 1 species